CAUGUCCUUUUGAUUUGAAUUUAAGGUCUAAUCUGCUCAAUGAUUAUUUAAAUUGCCGCAGUAUUUUAACUGUGCAAAGGUAGCAUAAUAAUUAGUUUCUUGAUUAGAAGCUGGAAUGAAUGAUUGGACGAGAAAAUAACUGUCUCUUUUUAAUUGCUUAUUGAAUUUUAUUUUUAAGUAAAAAAGCUUAAAUUUUAAUAAAAGACGAGAAGACCCUAUAGAGUUUGAUAUUUAAAUACUAUUAAUUUAUGGUAUGUUUAUUUAGUACUUAAGUAUUUAAUUGGGGUGAUUUGAAGAUUGAAAUAAUUCUUUAAUUUAUUUAUUGCUGAUUGGUAAUAUUUAAAAUCUAAGAUUUUUAAGUUUAAUAUAAAUUACCUUAGGGAUAACAGCGUAAUUUUUCUUUAAAGUUCUUAUUGAAAGAAAAUUUUGCGACCUCGAUGUUGGAUUAAAAUAUAUUUUUGGAGUAGUUACUAAAAUAUUAGGUCUGUUCGACCUUUAAAAUUUUACAUGAUCUGAGUUUAAACCGGUGUAAGCCAGGUUGGAUUCUAUCUUUAGUUUUAUAAUAUAUUUUAGUACGAAAGGACCAAAUAUAUAUUAAAUAUUAGUUG
rnacentral:rRNA from 1 species